rnacentral:rRNA from 1 species
GACGAACGCUGGCGGCGUGCCUAAUACAUGCAAGUCGAACGCUUCUUUCCUCCCGAGUGCUUGCACUCAAUUGGAAAGAGGAGUGGCGGACGGGUGAGUAACACGUGGGUAACCUACCCAUCAGAGGGGGAUAACACUUGGAAACAGGUGCUAAUACCGCAUAACAGUUUAUGCCGCAUGGCAUAAGAGUGAAAGGCGCUUUCGGGCGUCGCUGAUGGAUGGACCCGCGGUGCAUUAGCUAGUUGGUGAGGUAACGGCUCACCAAGGCCACGAUGCAUAGCCGACCUGAGAGGGUGAUCGGCCACACUGGGACUGAGACACGGCCCAGACUCCUACGGGAGGCAGCAGUAGGGAAUCUUCGGCAAUGGACGAAAGUCUGACCGAGCAACGCCGCGUGAGUGAAGAAGGUUUUCGGAUCGUAAAACUCUGUUGUUAGAGAAGAACAAGGACGUUAGUAACUGAACGUCCCCUGACGGUAUCUAACCAGAAAGACACGGCUAACUACGUG